AUCCAGCUGAUGAGUCCAAAAUAGGACGAAACACGCGUCAAACUGGAU
rnacentral:hammerhead_ribozyme from 1 species